UACAAGAUGUGAUUGAGGGUUGGCGACCAAAGGUUGAAGGUUGAUUUAUCUUCUAUACUCUGUCAUCAAGCUUCAGGUCGUAUCAUUACUUAGCUUGCCGUUUUGUUAUUUUACAAUCAUAUUACUCUAUUUCAGAUCGAAAUGUGUCAAGUUCUCAAUGAAUCCUGCAAUGUUGAUAUUGAAAUAUUUUGAUGUGCUUCCCUCAUCACAUUAGUUUGCACUAUGUAAAGCACAUCUUAAUUUUGUCCAACGGAUGCAAACACUGCAAUUAGCAGCGUUUGUUGAAAUUCGAAUUGCAGUUCUUGUAACAUUUCACAGAUCGAUAUGAUGUUGUAUUGUUUGUUUAUAUUAGUGAAAUAGUAUUAAAUUAAUAACUGGAUUGCUUUUCUGUUCUUUUGCAUAUAGAAAAGAAACACAUGCGUGCGACAUGUCUUUCUGUGAUUAUUAUUAUGGCAAUAUAGAUAUAUAAACAUAGUUCCUUAGUUUCCUACUUCAUGCAAUACACUUGAGGGCUCAGUUCCAUUGAUAAUCUCUCUUAUCCGGC
rnacentral:lncRNA from 1 species